rnacentral:precursor_RNA from 12 species
CAGCCUAUAGCUAGCCUGCUCAGCAGCCCCGCUUGGAUAAGGUAUUCUUAUUUUUUGAAUUUUUCCAAAAUAAAUUACCUUAUCCUUGGAGGCCAUUGAGAGACAACUUCCCAGCUAAAC